rnacentral:lncRNA from 1 species
AUAGCACCUGAGUGUCAAGGAACCUGGAGGGUACUGAGCCACAAAACCAGCAACCUGAACAACAUCUUCUUGAUCUGCCUCUAAUCUCUUGACAAACGUUGGAGGUUGAAAGUAAGAGUGGAGAGGUAUCAACAGUGUUUAAUCUUUAAGCCUUCAUCUCUGUAAAGUUAUAAAGAUAAUUUUUACCAUAAUUUUUUAAUGGAAUCUAUUAAUUCUCAGAGGUAGCUCCUGCUUCUGCAUCAUGAAGGAAGUUGCACUUGUUCCCGCAGAAACAGGAUAUCAUUGACCACAUCUGACAAGACAACACAGCAAGGAAAUGGAGCACCUUCGGGACUGCAAAGAGAAUC